rnacentral:rRNA from 1 species
UACGUAGGGCGCAAGCGUUGUCCGGAAUUAUUGGGCGUAAAGAGCUCGUAGGCGGUUUGUCACGUCUGCUGUGAAAUCCCGAGGCUCAACCUCGGGACUGCAGUGGGUACGGGCAGACUAGAGUGUGGUAGGGGAGACUGGAAUUCCUGGUGUAGCGGUGGAAUGCGCAGAUAUCAGGAGGAACACCAAUGGCGAAGGCAGGUCUCUGGGCCACAACUGACGCUGAGGAGCGAAAGCAUGGGUAGCGAACAGG